UCCCUCAUAGUUCAGUUGGUAAAGAAUCUGCCUGCAAUGCAGGAGACCCAGGUUCGAUUCCUGGGUCGGGAC
rnacentral:tRNA from 1 species